rnacentral:misc_RNA from 1 species
CUGGAAGCUUUGAAUUUCUAAAUCCUAAAUAUUUUCAGUAUUCCAGAAACCUAAAUAUAUUCUCUACUAUAAUCAGUUUUGGAAUUCUGACAACUUUGGUUACAGAUUUGGAAAAAGUCCUUUUAUUGUUAACAAUUGUUCAGUAAAUAAUUGUUUCAUAACUAACAAUAGGUUGUUACUGCCAGCUAUCGAAGAUUUUGAUAUGAUAAUAUUUCACACUGGUGGUGUAGAGGUUCUAAAAAAAAGAAAUCCAAAACAGUUUUACGUAUUCUUCAGUCUUGAGUGCCCCAUUCAUGCGGCAAUUAACGGAUAUGAAGAAAGGUAUAGGUCAUUUUUUAAUUUAACAAUGACUUACUGACAAGAUUCUGAUAUUUUUUCCCGUAUGGGGAAAUGAAAUCUGGUGGAAAAAGAUCUGUUAAGAAAGCAACUAGUUCAAGAAGUAAAGAUGACAGAAAGCUAGUUGCAUGGGUUGUAUCUCAUUGUAAGACACAAUCUCAACGAGAAAAAUAUGUUGAUGAUCUGAUUCGGUGAUGAUCUGGGAAAGUGGAAAAGAUAGUAUAAAUUAAAAAAGUAGAUUUAUAUAUUUUGAGAAUUUAGAUUUCAAAUUAUGUGGUCGAAAAGUUAGGAAACCUAAAAUCAGGAUAUUUUUGGAUGCAUUUUUCUCGUUUUAGGGGAUUUUCAAUCAUACGCAUUUGAAAAUAAAAAAAAACUAUAAUCAGUGUGAGCUCAAUAGCUCAAAAUAGGGAUACAUUCUCAGUUCUCAUACAAACCCUGAGCUAAACUUAGAUGGGAUAGUUCCAUUGGACCGGGAGCUAAGCUCAGAUUCCAAGAUGUCCGGCCUAAAAACAGGACAAUGUAUUAGCUUUUUGUAUAUAGCUAUAGGUCGGACAGAAAGUGGGGCGGAUGAUAAGUUGCCAACAUGGAGAAAUAUUUGUCGUUAGAAAACAUGCUUUGAAAGCAUCUUUGAAUGCGUUGAAAA